ACGAGUUAGGGUCUUCUAGGCCUGACCUCCCAACCCUUUGUUUAACGAACCACUGUUGCUUCGGCGGGCCCGUCUCACGACCGCCGGGGGAUCGUCGAAAGAUUUCCCCUGGCCCGUGCCCGCCGGAAGCCCAUCUCUAAAAUCUGAAAUCAUGUCAUUAUGUCUAAGUAAAUCAUUAAAUUAAAGCA
rnacentral:misc_RNA from 1 species